rnacentral:rRNA from 1 species
AUUGAACGCUGGCGGCAUGCUUUACACAUGCAAGUCGAACGGUAACAGGCCGCAAGGUGCUGACGAGUGGCGAACGGGUGAGUAAUGCAUCGGAACGUGCCCAGUCGUGGGGGAUAACUACUCGAAAGAGUAGCUAAUACCGCAUACGAUCUAUGGAUGAAAGCGGGGGACCGUAAGGCCUCGCGCGAUUGUAGCGGCCGAUGUCAGAUUAGGUAGUUGGUGGGGUAAAGGCUCACCAAGCCAACGAUCUGUAGCUGGUCUGAGAGGACGACCAGCCACACUGGGACUGAAACACGGCCCAGACUCAUACGGGAGACAGCAGUGGGGAAUUUUGGACAAUGGGCGCAAGCCUGAUCCAGCAAUGCCGCGUGCAGGAAGAAGGCCUUCGGGUUGUAAACUGCUUUUGUACGGAACGAAACGGCUCUGGUUAAUAACCGGGGCUAAUGACGGUACAGUAAGAAUAAGCACCGGCUAACUACGUG